UCUUUGAUAUGGGGUUGUAGCUGGUCUCGAUACCGAGGCAUGUGCUCGCUCUGUUCAAAAUCCACUCUACACCUGUGCACUCACUGCAAGCUGGGGUCUGUUGAGGGUCAUGCUUUCACGAGCUUUGACCUUUGAAAGCCUCGCUUGUGUUUAUUACAAACGAUUUAGUAACCGAAUGUACAUCGCGUUUAACGCAUCAUAUACAACUUUUAGCAACGGAUCUCUUGGCUCUCGCAUCGAUGAAGAACGCAGCGAAAUGCGAUAAGUAAUGUGAAUUGCAGAAUUCAGUGAAUCAUCGAAUCUUUGAACGCACCUUGCGCUCCUUGGUAUUCCGAGGAGCACGCCUGUUUGAGUGUCGUGAAAUUCUCAACCUUGCAGAGUCUUGUGCUCUGUUAAGGAUUGGAUUUGGAGGCUUGCCGGUGAUUAGUUUGCCGGCUCCUCUCAAAAGCAUUAGCUUGUUCCUUGUGGAUCGGCCUCAGUGUGAUAAUUGUCUACGCUGUUUGACUGUGAAGCAUUUGGCUAGCUUCUAAUCGUCUCGCUGAGAGACAAAGCUCUAUCGACAUCUGA
rnacentral:rRNA from 1 species